GUUAGAUUCCGUCUUGUAAGAAUUGUUGGUGGAAGUGUGCCAGAUUUUACACUCCAAUCCUUUACGCAUGAAAUGGAGCAUCUAUUUGAUCAAAAACUUGAAACCAUCAAGAGAUGAUUGGAUCGUGUCAAAGAGCAGGACCAUCGAGCAAGAGCCCAAUGGGAGCAAAUUUCACCAACUCGAGGAAUGGAGACAAGAUCC
rnacentral:lncRNA from 1 species